UGUAUUUCUAUAAAGACUUCUGAGGGUGACAGUCUAAGGGUGACGGCUUGUAGAAAUACACAAACUCUGAUCUGCAGCAGCUACCUGUGCUUGGAAGCUGAAGGACAAUGCUGUUGUCUUUUGACCUACCUCUAGGGCCUUGUCAGUUUGCCCCCGUUUUCCGCAGUCUGUCACUAAGUACUAAGGAUCAUUGAAACUUAAGAUCUACAGCAGCCAAACAUCAUGACCAUCUACUAAAAGCAACUUCAUGCUGGGACCUGCCAUGGCUGUUGAAGAUGGUACCUUAAAUCAAACCUGCAACAUCACGAUCUGAAAGGUGCUUCUGACCCCAUUGAGAAGCAGUGGUCUCCACAGCAGGCUCAAAUCAUGUUUUUCUGGUGCUUCCUUGAAGGCAAGACAAUACAAGGUGAUACAAACACCUGGAACACUGUCAUCUUCUCUGGAAGUACUCAAAGAAGAUUCUUAGAACUAUUAAAAUUAAUUUCUAACCUGUCCAUUCUCUGUCAAAUACCCUUUUCUGUUCACAAACAAGGUCUUCCUAGGUCUGAUGUUAGACAAAGUAAGUGUUUAAAGAUGUGUUUCUUAGGGAAACACAGGAAUUGUUUGAAGAAGUGUUUUUCAAGAAGCUUAAGCAUGUCUCAUUCCCUUUCAUGCCUUUAGGAAUUUUUCAUAAGGAGUUCACUGUAAUUCUUUUUUUUUUUUUUAAAUUCAGGUUAAAAAUCCCCAAGUUCAUGCCAAGACAAAGCUCUCAACACUGAAAUAGUACUAAAAUGAAGUAUAUGUAGUUCCUAGGACUGUUUUAGUUUUUAUUAAGAACCAGUCUCUCUUUAGCACUUAAAAUUCUUUUAUUUUAAAAAUUGUUCAAGACUGUUUUCCAACCAGUGUGCAUCAGCAGCUUUGGUGAAAACACCAGGUAUCUUUCAGGAAACUUAUCAUACCAAAUGCAUACCAUGAAGUCACAUUGCAGUAAAUUGGCACAAUAAGUUUUGCAAGAACAAACUUAGCUUGUUUAAGAAAGUGAUUAAGUAAACUCACACGUAAACAUUUUAACUAUAAAAAUGCUGCUUCCAGCUCCUACAAAACACAGUGAAAAGACAUCCCCACGAGAGUUGAAAAACUAUGCACAGAGGUAAGUAUCAUAGGAAGAGAUUUUAUACAAAUGAAGCAAUUAGGCAGUUAAAAGUAUUUACACUUUUUCCUGCUAUUAACUAGACAAACAUACAGUAGUCAGAGAAAAAUAUACUACAACUCUAAGUCUUGUAACAUAUAAGCAUUUUUUCUCUAAAUGGAAUUUUAAUCUUUUGAAAUGUGUUACCUGUUAAUACUGGACAAAACUAUUGGCAAAAGUGUUUAAAUACUUUUAAACCAAGAUUAAAGGGGGUUUAAUUCCACAAAAUUUAACUUCAAAAUACUAUGCUUAUAAAAUUAUUUAAACUUUUAGCAGUGUAUAGAUUUCAAAUGUAAAACUUAGCAAUCCUCUUCAAUCCCCUUUAUAAAAAGACUCCAGUGGUGUCAUUUGUUUUUGAAGGCAGACUCUUUUGCUGUUUUUUCAAGCUCUCUCUUCACCACAUGUCCUAGAAAUAUAAUAAAUUAACAUUAAUGACAAUGUAAAAGCACUGAAGGGAGUCUUACUUCUGAUGAAUGUUUUUACACAGACUAGAGUUAAAUGAUACUGAUAUGCAUUCAGCAGUGGAGAAAUCUGGAGAACUGAGGCAGGAACCAAUGCUACCUGUUAGCUUUCUCUCCGAAGUGGACUACCCCCAAACACUAGAUGAAGCCAGCAGUGACUGUCACCACAUGACCAUGUGCGUCCAGACAUGAGUGGCAGUCAUUCAGAGGUUGGUUUCUGUUCCAUUCAGGUCAUCCUCCCAGUCUGCUGCUAGUAAUGUCAACUCAAGUGGAAAAGCACUGUGGCUUUUUUCCUGCGUGGAAUAUGCUCAUUUCACUUAACUAUAAUACUUUUCUUUGUAGCCACAAAUAAUGCACUGUGUUCAAAACACUAAGUAACCUCAGGAAGCAACAGAAAUCUCUACCAGCUGAAAACAGAAAGUACAAAUAACUACAGAAGUAUUAGACAAUUUCUGUCUUUAAAAUUUCUGAAUUACCUUUUCAGAAGGGCAAUUAAUGUCUUGCCUCUAAGUAACAAAGGGAGUAAAAUUCCCUUUGUUCCCUUACAUUCUGGAAGUAAAAUUCCAGAAUGUAAUAGGUAGCUUUGCACUUGAAGUUUAGAAAUUAUUUGCUUAGAUUCAGCAGUGGAAACUGUAGGAACAGUUUUUAACAUGCAUGAUUUUUUCACAGUCAUUUUGCUCACCAAUUGUUCGCUUGCAAAAACCAGAGCACCAGAAAUAAACAAACAUAUAUAUACAUAAAAAAUACUGACUGUAAGGAAUUUUACAUGAUGGAGAGACAUCAGUCUGUAGCUUGCUUGAAUUUAAACAGGUAUGUGGAUAGAUUACUUAACUUAUAUCUGUUAGCAAGCAAUGAAUAUAAAACAACUUGCAAAACCUCUUAUGAAUAUCUUGGAUGUUAAGUCCAGAGAAACUGCUCCCAAGCAGCUGUACAAGGUUUUAUAUGGCGUGGAGCUGAUUUCCUUGUUUAGCUAGGUCAGAAGAAGUGCUGGAGGGUGUAGAGUUCAAGGCCACACCAAAAACCACAAACACAUUAAAAGAUAAAUGUUUAUUAGCAUAAGAUGACACCCCCACCUAGCUCCUUCAUGGACUAUAUAUUUACAAGUUUUACACACACAAUCACAAUUAUUGAAAUGUUAAAAAUAUAAAUUACAUUGCCUAAAAGUAGCUUAUUUGAGACUGUUUAUAUUCACCUGCCUGUUGUAGGCAUGUCAUUUAUGUAUCUGGAGCAUCCACCUUAGGUUUCUUUUCACCAAUGUCCACUACAGUGUCAUGCAUGCACCCAAAUGUUCUUAAACUUUUUCUUUUAACAGUAAAUAUAAAGGGAAAUUUGACUGAGGUUUUCUUUUUGCCACUGGAAAAUUUGUGUUAGGUUAUGCAGAAAAGAAGAAAGGAGCAGGCCAUGAAAAAUGAUGCCUUAGUCAACCAGUUAAGUUGUUUAUUUUUAAAUACUUAGACCAAUACAUUUAAUGCUGAUCUCCUUUGCUGUGGAUUUCAAGUAGCUUGGGUGUUGCACUUUAUGAGUACUGUACUGUGUUUUCACCACAUCUCCCAUUUAAGGAAUGUGCUAUGCUCUAUAACUCAUGCUGGUAAUCUACACUCAUGCCUUAAUUAUGCUCCCUUAACAUGCUACUUUUUGAAGGCAGAUGAGGGUCUGGCAUCCUCACCACUGGCUGAAAAUUCCCAAGUGUCAUUUCUGAAAGUUCAAUAGUAAGAAAGCGGUAAUUCUAAGGCUACCUCCCAGCAAAAAUCAAAUUCAUAGUCAUCUUAAGGUGUUUUGUUUUUUUUUUAAGCUUCCCCUACUGUAAAUAAUGGUUAAUAUACACACCCUCAUAUCUUUAAUUUGUUAUGCAGCCAAAAGAAUGCCAGGCAACUCUCGCAUACAGUCCUCCUGGACUGUAUGAAGAUGGUAAUGAAAGGGAAGCUUGCAGUAAUACAUACUGCUGGACAAAAAGAAUCACGCAACACAAGAGCAGAACUGCUCAGAAAAAAAACAAGUUGGUAUUUCAACCAACCAGUUUUGCUCAAGGAUAAUUUUAGACCCUUCCCUCAUUUUUCACUAAAUUCUGUUACAUAUUCCUCAUGUUCUAUGUUGCUUACGUUUUUAUUAUUAUUUAUUUAUUUUUACAAAACUGCAUUUUCAGCGAGACCAAGGUUUAAAUACUACCCUUAAGCAUUCAUAUGCAUGUUUGGAAAACAUAAAUGCAUCAACCUCUGGCAUUAUUACAUACCAUCACAUUUUAUAGAGUCCUAAAAUUUCACAGGUGGAAGUUCUAGUCUGCAGUUAAUCUGCAUUUGGGGGAUACCAGAAUUAUAAUUACAGAACACUAGUUGAAGUAGUUUGGCUAUUGAUCAGGAUAAAUUGGUUUUACAAAAAAAAAAAAAAAA